UACGUAGGGGGCUAGCGUUGUCCGGAAUCAUUGGGCGUAAAGAGCGUGUAGGCGGUCCGGUAAGUCCGCUGUGAAAGCCGGGGGCUCAACCCUCGAAUGCCGGUGGAUACUGUCGGGCUAGAGUGCGGAAGAGGCGAGUGGAAUUCCUGGUGUAGCGGUGAAAUGCGCAGAUAUCAGGAGGAACACCUAUUGCGAAGGCAGCUCGCUGGGACGUAACUGACGCUGAGGCGCGAAAGCGUGGGGAGCAAACAGG
rnacentral:rRNA from 1 species